AGGUAAUGCUGGGCACUCUAAGGAUACUGCCGGUGACAAACCGGAGGAAGGUGGGGAUGACGUCAAAUCAUCAUGCCCUUUAUGACCUGGGCUACACACGUGCUACAAUGGCCUAUACAAAGGGUUGCGAAGCUGUGAAGUGGAGCCAAUCCCAAAAAGUAGGUCUCAGUUCGGAUUGUAGGCUGCAACUCGCCUACAUGAAGUCGGAAUCGCUAGUAAUCGCGGAUCAGCAUGCCGCGGUGAAUACGUUCCCGGGCCUU
rnacentral:rRNA from 1 species